rnacentral:sRNA from 1 species
UUACCCCAUGAUGCUCAGGUCCGCCGCAUCUCCUGGGUCGUGGGGUUUGUCGGCUGAUCAUUGGCAACUGCGGUUCCUCGUGCCGCCGCCAAGAUCAGCCGACGCCCAU